rnacentral:rRNA from 1 species
GGGACACGUGGUAUCCUGUCUGAAUAUGGGGGGACCAUCCUCCAAGGCUAAAUACUCCUGACUGACCGAUAGUGAACCAGUACCGUGAGGGAAAGGCGAAAAGAACCCCGGCGAGGGGAGUGAAAAAGAACCUGAAACCGUGUACGUACAAGCAGUGGGAGCACGCUUCGGCGUGUGACUGCGUACCUUUUGUAUAAUGGGUCAGCGACUUAUAUUCUGUAGCAAGGUUAACCGAAUAGGGGAGCCGAAGGGAAACCGAGUCUUAACUGGGCGUUAAGUUGCAGGGUAUAGACCCGAAACCCGGUGAUCUAGCCAUGGGCAGGUUGAAGGUUGGGUAACACUAACUGGAGGACCGAACCGACUAAUGUUGAAAAAUUAGCGGAUGACUUGUGGCUGGGGGUGAAAGGCCAAUCAAACCGGGAGAUAGCUGGUUCUCCCCGAAAGCUAUUUAGGUAGCGCCUCGUGAAUUCAUCUCCGGGGGUAGAGCACUGUUUCGGCAAGGGGGUCAUCCCGACUUACCAACCCGAUGCAAACUGCGAAUACCGGAGAAUGUUAUCACGGGAGACACACGGCGGGUGCUAACGUCCGUCGUGAAGAGGGAAACAACCCAGACCGCCAGCUAAGGUCCCAAAGUCAUGGUUAAGUGGGAAACGAUGUGGGAAGGCCCAGACAGCCAGGAUGUUGGCUUAGAAGCAGCCAUCAUUUAAAGAAAGCGUAAUAGCUCACUGGUCGAGUCGGCCUGCGCGGAAGAUGUAACGGGGCUAAACCAUGCACCGAAGCUGCGGCAGCGACGCUGAUGCGUUGUUGGGUAGGGGAGCGUUCUGUAAGCCUGCGAAGGUGUGCUGUGAGGCAUGCUGGAGGUAUCAGAAGUGCGAAUGCUGACAUAAGUAACGAUAAAGCGGGUGAAAAGCCCGCUCGCCGGAAGACCAAGGGUUCCUGUCCAACGUUAAUCGGGGCAGGGUGAGUCGACCCCUAAGGCGAGGCCGAAAGGCGUAGUCGAUGGGAAACAGGUUAAUAUUCCUGUACUUGGUGUUACUGCGAAGGGGGGACGGAGAAGGCUAUGUUGGCCGGGCGACGGUUGUCCCGGUUUAAGCGUGUAGGCUGGUUUUCCAGGCAAAUCCGGAAAAUCAAGGCUGAGGCGUGAUGACGAGGCACUACGGUGCUGAAGCAACAAAUGCCCUGCUUCCAGGAAAAGCCUCUAAGCAUCAGGUAACAUCAAAUCGUACCCCAAACCGACACAGGUGGUCAGGUAGAGAAUACCAAGGCGCUUGAGAGAACUCGGGUGAAGGAACUAGGCAAAAUGGUGCCGUAACUUCGGGAGAAGGCACGCUGAUAUGUAGGUGAGGUCCCUCGCGGAUGGAGCUGAAAUCAGUCGAAGAUACCAGCUGGCUGCAACUGUUUAUUAAAAACACAGCACUGUGCAAACACGAAAGUGGACGUAUACGGUGUGACGCCUGCCCGGUGCCGGAAGGUUAAUUGAUGGGGUCAGCGCAAGCGAAGCUCUUGAUCGAAGCCCCGGUAAACGGCGGCCGUAACUAUAACGGUCCUAAGGUAGCGAAAUUCCUUGUCGGGUAAGUUCCGACCUGCACGAAUGGCGUAAUGAUGGCCAGGCUGUCUCCACCCGAGACUCAGUGAAAUUGAACUCGCUGUGAAGAUGCAGUGUACCCGCGGCAAGACGGAAAGACCCCGUGAACCUUUACUAUAGCUUGACACUGAACAUUGAGCCUUGAUGUGUAGGAUAGGUGGGAGGCUUUGAAGUGUGGACGCCAGUCUGCAUGGAGCCGACCUUGAAAUACCACCCUUUAAUGUUUGAUGUUCUAACGUUGACCCGUAAUCCGGGUUGCGGACAGUGUCUGGUGGGUAGUUUGACUGGGGCGGUCUCCUCCUAAAGAGUAACGGAGGAGCACGAAGGUUGGCUAAUCCUGGUCGGACAUCAGGAGGUUAGUGCAAUGGCAUAAGCCAGCUUGACUGCGAGCGUGACGGCGCGAGCAGGUGCGAAAGCAGGUCAUAGUGAUCCGGUGGUUCUGAAUGGAAGGGCCAUCGCUCAACGGAUAAAAGGUACUCCGGGGAUAACAGGCUGAUACCGCCCAAGAGUUCAUAUCGACGGCGGUGUUUGGCACCUCGAUGUCGGCUCAUCACAUCCUGGGGCUGAAGUAGGUCCCAAGGGUAUGGCUGUUCGCCAUUUAAAGUGGUACGCGAGCUGGGUUUAGAACGUCGUGAGACAGUUCGGUCCCUAUCUGCCGUGGGCGCUGGAGAACUGAGGGGGGCUGCUCCUAGUACGAGAGGACCGGAGUGGACGCAUCACUGGUGUUCGGGUUGUCAUGCCAAUGGCACUGCCCGGUAGCUAAAUGCGGAAGAGAUAAGUGCUGAAAGCAUCUAAGCACGAAACUUGCCCCGAGAUGAGUUCUCCCUGACCCUUUAAGGGUCCUGAAGGAACGUUGAAGACGACGACGUUGAUAGGCCGGGUGUGUAAGCGCAGCGAUGCGUUGAGCUAACCGGUACUAAUGAACCGUGAGG